rnacentral:tRNA from 1 species
GACCUCGUCGCUCAGCUGGUAGAGCAUGCGCUGUACAAAAACUCGGCGGCAUCCACGCGUGGGUUCGAAUCCCACCGAGGCUA